rnacentral:misc_RNA from 1 species
GAAACGGGCGAAGAAGAGGAGAGGCAACCGGAUUUCAAUCGUGAUGGACGCGAAGAACGUCCACCUCGAGAAGACCGGGGACCUCGACCACCUCGCCCGGGCGGCUUUAAUCGCGAUCGGCGCCCGAGCCGCGGUCCGCGACGGUAGACGCUUCAACGCAGA